rnacentral:rRNA from 1 species
CGGCAGCACGGGGGCAACCCUGGUGGCGAGUGGCGAACGGGUGAGUAACGCAUCGGAACGUGCCCAGUAGUGGGGGAUAACCAGUCGAAAGAUUGGCUAAUACCGCAUACGACCUACGGGUGAAAGCGGGGGAUCGCAAGACCUCGCGCUACUGGAGCGGCCGAUGUCUGAUUAGCUAGUUGGUGGGGUAAAGGCUCACCAAGGCGACGAUCAGUAGCUGGUCUGAGAGGACGACCAGCCACACUGGGACCGAGACACGGCCCAGACUCCUACGGGAGGCAGCAGUGGGGAAUUUUGGACAAUGGGCGAAAGCCUGAUCCAGCCAUGCCGCGUGCGGGAAGAAGGCCUUCGGGUUGUAAACCGCUUUUGGCAGGAACGAAACGGUGCCGACAAAUACUCGGCGCUAAUGACGGUACCUGCAGAAUAAGCACCGGCUAACUACGUGCCAGCAGCCGCGGUAAUACGUAGGGUGCAAGCGUUAUCCGGAAUUAUUGGGUUUAAAGGGUGCGUAGGCGGACUUUUAAGUCAGUGGUGAAAGCCUGCAGCUUAACUGUAGAAUUGCCAUUGAAACUGAAAGUCUCGAGUGUGGUUGAGGUAGCUGGAAUGUAUCAUGUAGCGGUGAAAUGCUUAGAUAUGAUACAGAACUCCAAUUGCGAAGGCAGGCUACUAAACCAUAACUGACGCUGANGCACGAAAGCGUGGGGAUCAAACAGGANUAGAUACCCU